AGCAGAUCCCGAUAUGGGGCUCAAACACAGGAAAUGUGAGAUCAUAACCCGAGCCAAAAGAAAAUGCUAGACGCUUAACUGACUGAGCAACCAAGGCGCCCCUUGCAGUGCAUAUUUUCAGUACUGAGAGAAGUAAAUUGGGCAUUUAGACACACGUGUCACAAGUUUUGUGUGGGACUUCCCACCUGAUGUGUUCUGCGUUUUAGUGUGUGUAAUGAUGUAGUGUUAGUGCACAUUAGUGUAUAUGCUAGCAUGUGUACUUAAGUCUGCUGUUUUGUGUGCUAAUGUGUCCUGGGUGUGCCAGUGAGCCUACAGCCAGUGCUAGCAUGGAAACCUGUGUAUACUAGCAUGUGUACUUGUGCCUGCUAGUGUGUGUGAUAGUAUGCAUCCUAGGUGUGACAGUGAGUGUACAACUACUGCUUGUGUGUGCUCAGGUGUAUACUAGCAUGUGUACUUGCAUAUGAUAGUGUGUGCUCAUAGGUGUACUCGUGUGAACUAAUAUAUGGGAACUAGUAUGUGUACUAGUGUGUGUUAGCGUGUAUGAGAUGUGCUAAUGUAUGCUAGUAUGUACUAGUGUGUAUUCUAGUCGAUGCCAGUGUGUUCACUAGUGUGCACUAGUACUAGCAUAUGUGCUAAUGUGUAAUAUGAUUGCAAGUCUGUGUGCUAGCAUUCGUGCUAGGUUGAGUAUAACAUGUGUGCUACUGUGUAUUAAUGUGUAGUAGUAUUUACUGAACAUACUACUAUGUGUACUGACAUACACCAGUUGUAUACUAUUGUGUACUAGUGCAUGUACUAGGUGUGUACUUGUAUUUGUCCUAAUAUGAGUACUAGCUUGUGUGCUUUUGUGUGCUAGUGAGUAGUAGAGUGUGCUAGACAUGCUAAUGUGAUCUAGUGUGUAUAAUGAGUAGUAAAUUACACCAAUGUUUAUACUAGUGUGUGCCAGUUUGUGUGCUAGUGUGUGCUCAUGGACACUCAUUAGAAUAAAGGAGGAUUGCACCACAAAUACCAUCAUGGCAGCAUCCCAGGCGGAUGUCCAGGGCACAUAUGAUGUCAUAGAGGACCAGCCAAUCAGAAUUCCCCCAACCUGGGGGUCUCAGGUGGGCAAUGAUCCUUGGGAGUGAGGACAGAGGUUGAAGCAGGAGACCCUCCACCCCAGGGUUCCCACGGUCACAGGCUCAGGACUCUCCCCACAGCCGGGAUGCUGGCAUAGCUACUUUGGUUCUACCACUUGAAUCCCUCCCUCCUACCUCCCUGCAUGGAUCCUGCCAGCUGAGUUUGCAGUUACCUUCUUCAGGCUUCCAUCAUAUCUCUGCCCUCAACUCAUCUCUGCCUCGACAUUGACAUGCCCAGCAUCACAGCUCUCCUGUGUUUUAUCUCUGGUGCAUAGCUGGUAUUAAAAACUCCAAAUCUUACAGGACUCAGCAAGCCGUGAACAAAAUCCCCUCCUCUGGAGGAGAGCCUGUCAGCACUACACCUGGUGCCCUUCUGUGCUGGAAAAAAAUAGCAUCCCCGAACAAGGGCCUGUAGUUUAUGGUGAACCACAGAGAAAUCUGUGACCAGGUUAUG